UACGUAGGGUGCGAGCGUUAAUCGGAAUUACUGGGCGUAAAGCGUGCGCAGGCGGUUUUGUAAGCCAGAUGUGAAAUCCCCGGGCUUAACCUGGGAAUGGCAUUUGGGACUGCAAGGCUUGAGUGCGGCAGAGGAGACUGGAAUUCCUGGUGUAGCAGUGAAAAUGCGGUAGAUAUCAGGAGGAACACCGAUGGCGAAGGCAGGUCUCUGGGCUGACACUGACGCUCGA
rnacentral:rRNA from 1 species